rnacentral:rRNA from 1 species
UGCCAGCAGCCGCGGUAAUACAGAGGGCCCGAGCGUUAAUCGGAAUCACUGGGCUUAAAGAGUGCGUAGGCGGACGUAAAGGUAUUUUGUGAAAUCCCUCGGCUCAACCGGGGAAUUGCUUGGUAAACCAUACGUCUUGAGGCAGGUAGGGGUGGUCGGAACGCUAGGUGGAGCGGUGGAAUGCGUAGAUAUCUAGCGGAACGCCAAUGGAGAAGUCAGGCCACUGGGCCUGUCCUGACGCUGAGGCACGAAAGCGUGGGUAGCAAACGGGAUUAGAUA